AGAGUUUGAUCCUGGCUCAGGAUGAACGCUGGCGGCGUGCCUAACACAUGCAAGUCGAACGAAGCUCCUGCGACAGAUUCCUUCGGGAUGAAGAUGCUUGAGACUUAGUGGCGGACGGGUGAGUAACGCGUGGGUAACCUGCCCUGUACUGGGGGACAACAGUUAGAAAUGACUGCUAAUACCGCAUAAGCCUACAGAGUCGCAUGACUUAGUAGGAAAAAUUCCGGUGGUACAGGAUGGGCCCGCGUCUGAUUAGCUAGUUGGUGAGGUAACGGCUCACCAAGGCAACGAUCAGUAGCCGGCUUGAGAGAGUGAACGGCCACAUUGGGACUGAGACACGGCCCAAACUCCUACGGGAGGCAGCAGUGGGGAAUAUUGCACAAUGGGGGAAACCCUGAUGCAGCAACGCCGCGUGAGUGAAGAAGUAUUUCGGUAUGUAAAGCUCUAUCAGCAGGGAAGAAAAUGACGGUACCUGACUAAGAAGCACCGGCUAAAUACGUGCCAGCAGCCGCGGUAAUACGUAUGGUGCAAGCGUUAUCCGGAUUUACUGGGUGUAAAGGGAGCGCAGGCGGUUUGGCAAGUCUGAUGUGAAAAUCCGGGGCUCAACCCCGGAACUGCAUUGGAAACUGUCAGACUAGAGUGUCGGAGAGGUAAGUGGAAUUCCUAGUGUAGCGGUGAAAUGCGUAGAUAUUAGGAGGAACACCAGUGGCGAAGGCGGCUUACUGGACACCAACUGACGCUGAGGCUCGAAAGUGUGGGUAGCAAACAGGAUUAGAUACCCUGGUAGUCCACACCGUAAACGAUGAUUACUAGGUGUUGGAGGAUUGACCCCUUCAGUGCCGCAGUUAACACAAUAAGUAAUCCACCUGGGGAGUACGACCGCAAGGUUGAAACUCAAAGGAAUUGACGGGGGCCCGCACAAGCAGUGGAGUAUGUGGUUUAAUUCGACGCAACGCGAAGAACCUUACCAAGUCUUGACAUCCUGCGACGAUGCUGGAAACAGUAUUUUCCUUCGGGACGCAGAGACAGGUGGUGCAUGGUUGUCGUCAGCUCGUGUCGUGAGAUGUUGGGUUAAGUCCCGCAACGAGCGCAACCCUUAUGGUCAGUUACUACGCAAGAGGACUCUGGCCAGACUGCCGUUGACAAAACGGAGGAAGGUGGGGAUGACGUCAAAUCAUCAUGCCCUUUAUGACUUGGGCUACACACGUACUACAAUGGCGUUAAACAAAGAGAAGCAAGACCGCGAGGUGGAGCAAAACUCAGAAACAACGUCCCAGUUCGGACUGCAGGCUGCAACUCGCCUGCACGAAGUCGGAAUUGCUAGUAAUCGUGGAUCAGCAUGCCACGGUGAAUACGUUCCCGGGCCUUGUACACACCGCCCGUCACACCAUGAGAGCCGGGGGGACCCGAAGUCGGUAGUCUAACCGCAAGGAGGACGCCGCCGAAGGUAAAACUGGUGAUUGGGGUGAAGUCGUAACAAGGUG
rnacentral:rRNA from 1 species